rnacentral:rRNA from 1 species
CUUUUUAAUGUAGCCCUUCUAGCUCGUCAAGCAUAGAGAUUAAUGCAGGAGUCUGAGUCUCUUAGUGCGCAAGUUCUCAAAGCGAGGUAUUAUCCAAACUGUCUUUUUUUGGACGUUACAUUUGGAUCGGUGCCAUCUCAGGGUCUCAUCAAGCGGAUUGGAUCGGGGACGAACACUGAUAUUUGGGGAGAGAACUGGUUACCGAGAGACUAUAAACUCGGACUCAUAUAUUGUCGGUCGGUUAACCCACCCUUAAGAGUAGCAGAUCUCAUUAAUCCCACGACCAGGACAUGGGACACACAAGCUCUUUCUGAACACUUCAUAGCACCGGAUGUAGAGGUCAUCCAAAAUAUACCUUUGAGCACCAGGGUUCAAGAAGAUUUCUGGUCUUGGCACUAUGACAAGCGAGAUGUGUUUACUGUCUGUUCCGCCUACAGGAUGUUAUCAUGCAUUAAAACACAGAGAGAAGAUUGGUUGGAGCAUUGCAAGGAAAAUUCAAAAGCCGUCGUGAAGAAGUCUUGGACCUCGCUCUGGAAAGUAAAGGUACCUUCUAAGGUACGUUUGUUUGUGUGGAGGCUGGCUCAUACAUCUAUACUCACAGCUUAAGUUCGUCAUGCUCGAAAUAUGGCUAAUUCCCCCAUCUGCACUAUAUGCAAUACCGACAUCGAUUCAUGGAGGCACUCAUUGCUUAACUGUCGGAUGGCAAGGUGUGUGUGGGCCCUUGGAGAUGAAGCACUGCUUGAACAUGUGAUCUCAAACAGGAGUGAUGAUCCAAAGGUAUGCCUUUUUUUGGUUGUUCGAUACGCUGAAACAGGAAGACCUAGCGAAGGUUCUAAUCACCAUGUGGGUGAUUUGGUGGGCUAG